rnacentral:rRNA from 1 species
AGGACGAACGCUGGCGGCGUGCUUAACACAUGCAAGUCGAGCGGAAAGGCCCUUCGGGGUACUCGAGCGGCGAACGGGUGAGUAACACGUGAGCAACCUGCCCUUAGCUCCGGGAUAGCUCCGGGAAACCGGAAUUAAUACCGGAUAUGACCUAGGCCGACAUCGGCCGUGGGUGGAAAGUUUUUCGGCUGGGGAUGGACUCGCGGCCUAUCAGCUUGUUGGUGGGGUAAUGGCCUACCAAGGCGACGACGGGUAGCCGGCCUGAGAGGGCGACCGGCCACACUGGGACUGAGACACGGCCCAGACUCCUACGGGAGGCAGCAGUGGGGAAUCUUGCGCAAUGGGCGAAAGCCUGACGCAGCGACGCCGCGUGGGGGAUGAAGGCCUUCGGGUUGUAAACCCCUUUCAGCAGGGACGAAGCGAAAGUGACGGUACCUGCAGAAGAAGCGCCGGCUAACUACGUGCCAGCAGCCGC